AUUGAACGCUGGCGGCAUGCCUAACACAUGCAAGUCGAACGGCAGCGCGGGAAUCGCCCUGUCUUCGAGUUGCCGACGGGCGGGUAAUUCAUCGGUACAUGCCCAGCAGCUGGGGCUAGGCCGGCGAAAGCCGGAUUAAUACCGUAUACGACCAUAGGGUGAACGGGAGGGACCAAAAGGUCUUGCGCCAUUGGAGGAGCCGAUGAGGGAUUAGCUAGUUGGUGGGGUAAAGGCUUACCAAGGCGACGAUCCGUAGCUGGUCUGAGAGGAUGACCAGCCACACUGGAACUGAGACACGGCCCAGACUCCUACGGGAGGCAGCAGUGGGGAAUUUUGGACAAUGGGCGCAAGCCUGAUCCAGCCAUGCCGCGUGGGUGAAGAAGGCCUUCGGGUUGUAAACCGCUUUUGUUCGGGAAGAAAACCUGUGGGAUAAUACCCCGGGGGGAUGACGGUACCGAAAGAAUAAGCACCGGCUAACUACGUG
rnacentral:rRNA from 1 species